GAGUUUGAUCAUGGCUCAGAUUGAACGCUGGCGGCAUGCCUUACACAUGCAAGUCGAGCGGCAGCGCGGGGGCAACCCUGGCGGCGAGCGGCGAACGGGUGAGUAAUACAUCGGAACGUGUCCUUUCGUGGGGGAUAACCAGUCGAAAGACUGGCUAAUACCGCAUGAGAUCUCACGAUGAAAGCGGGGGACCGCAAGGCCUCGCGCUAACAGAUGAGCCCAAGUCGGAUUAGCUAGUUGGUGGGGUAAAAGCCUACCAAGGCGACGAUCCGUAGCUGGUCUGAGAGGACGAUCAGCCACACUGGGACUGAGACACGGCCCAGACUCCUACGGGAGGCAGCAGUGGGGAAUAUUGGACAAUGGGGGAAACCCUGAUCCAGCAAUGCCGCGUGUGUGAAGAAGGCCUGCGGGUUGUAAAGCACUUUUGGCAGGGAUGAAAAGCACUGUGGUAAUACCUCAGUGUGUUGACCUAACCUGCAGAAGAAGCACCGGCUAACUCCGUG
rnacentral:rRNA from 1 species